GAUGAACGCUGGCGGCGUGCUAAUCCAUGCAAGUCGAACGGAGUAUCAGCAAUGGUACUUAGUGGCGAACGGGUGAGUAACGCGUUGGUGACCUGCCCCGAAGCGGGGGAUAACAGACCGAAAGGUUUGCUAAUACCGCAUAAUUUGUCAGAGUUAGAGAGCUUGACAAGAAACCGAAAGGCACUUUGGGAGGGCCUGCGUCCCAUCAGCUAGUUGGUAAGGUAACGGCUUACCAAGGCGAUGACGGGUAGGGGACCUGAGAGGGUGGCCCCCCACAAUGGAACUGAAACACGGUCCAUACACCUACGGGUGGCUG
rnacentral:rRNA from 1 species